UGAGGAAUAUUGGUCAAUGGGCGGAAGCCUGAACCAGCCAUGCCGCGUGAAGGACUAAGGCCCUAUGGGUCGUAAACUUCUUUAGACGCAGAGCAAUAAGGGUCUCGCGAGAUCCGAUGAGAGUAUGCGUAGAAUAAGCAUCGGCUAACUCCGUGCCAGCAGCCGCGGUAAUACGGGGGAUGCGAGCGUUAUCCGGAUUUAUUGGGUUUAAAGGGUGCGUAGGCUGUUUGUCAAGUCAGAGGUGAAAGGCCGCAGCUCAACUGUGGAAUUGCCUUUGAUACUGGCAGGCUUGAAUACUGUUGCCGUGGGAGGAAUGAGUAGUGUAGCGGUGAAAUGCAUAGAUAUUACUCAGAACACCGAUUGCGAAGGCAUCUCACGAAGCA
rnacentral:rRNA from 1 species